rnacentral:rRNA from 1 species
GACGGAGGGGGCUAGCGUUGUUCGGAAUUACUGGGCGUAAAGUGUGCGCAGGCGGCCGAGCAAGUCGAGUGUGAAAGCCCCGAGCUUAACUUGGGAACUGCGCUCGAAACUACUUGGCUAGAGUGUGGCAGAGGGAGGUGGAAUUCCACGUGUAGCGGUGAAAUGCGUAGAGAUGUGGAGGAACACCGAUGGCGAAGGCAGCCUCCUGGGCCAACACUGACGCUCAUGCACGAAAGCGUGGGGAGCAAACAGG